rnacentral:tRNA from 1 species
GGGCCGGUAGAUCAGCGGUAGAUCGCCUCCCUGGCGCGGAGGAGGCCCCGGGUUCGAAUCCCGGCCGGUCCACCA